GAUGAACGCUAGCGGCAGGCCUAACACAUGCAAGUCGAGGGGCAGCAUAAGGAAAGUUUACUUUCCUGGUGGCGACCGGCGCACGGGUGCGUAACGCGUAUGCAACCUACCUUACACAGGGGGAUAGCCCGGAGAAAUUCGGAUUAAUACCCUAUAGCAUUAUACUAUGGCAUCAUGGAAUAAUUAAAGCUUUGGCGGUGUAAGAUGGGCAUGCGUCCUAUUAGCUAGAUGGUGAGGUAACGGCUCACCAUGGCAACGAUAGGUAGGGGGCCUGAGAGGGUGGUCCCCCACACUGGUACGGAGACACGGACCAGACGCCUACGGGAGGCAGCAGUGAGGAAUAUUGGUCAAUGGGCGCAAGCCUGAACCAGCCAUGCCGCGUGAAGGAUGAAGGUUCUAUGGAUUGUAAACUUCUUUUAUUUGGGAAUAAACCCUCUUACGUGUAGGAGGCUGAAGGUACCAUGUGAAUAAGCACCGGCUAACUACGUGCCAGCAGCCGCAGUAACAC
rnacentral:rRNA from 1 species